UACGUAGGUCCCGAGCGUUGUCCGGAUUUAUUGGGCGUAAAGCGAGCGCAGGUGGUUUAUUAAGUCUGGUGUAAAAGGCAGUGGCUCAACCAUUGUGUGCAUUGGAAACUGUUAGACUUGAGUGCAGUAGAGGAGAGUGGAAUUCCAUGUGUAGCGGUGAAAUGCGUAGAUAUAUGGAGGAACACCGGUGGCGAAAGCGGCUCUCUGGCCUGUAACUGACACUGAGGCUCGAAAGCGUGGGGAGCAAACAGG
rnacentral:rRNA from 1 species